rfam:Oryza sativa (indica cultivar-group) chromosome 10, whole genome shotgun sequence.
AAAAAGAUAAACCCUAGAUUUUCGUGUCCAACUUUAACUGUCCGUCUUAUAUGAAAUUUUUUUAUAAUUCGUAUUUUCAUUGUUGUUAGAUGAUAAAACAUGAUUAAUAUUUUAAGUGUGACUUGUCUUUUUAAUUUUUUUUAUAAUUCUUUUAAAUAAGACGGACGGUGAAACGUUGGGUAUGAAAACCAGGGUUUGUCUUUUU